CACGUAGGCGGCUUUGUAAGUUAGAGGUGAAAGCCCGGAGCUCAACUCCGGAAUUGCCUUUAAGACUGCAUCGCUAGAAUUGUGGAGAGGUGAGUGGAAUUCCGAGUGUAGAGGUGAAAUUCGUAGAUAUUCGGAAGAACACCAGUAGCGAAGGCGACUCACUGGACACAUAUUGACGCUGAGGUGCGAAAGCGUGGGAGCAAACA
rnacentral:rRNA from 1 species